rnacentral:rRNA from 1 species
GACGUCAGUCAUCAUGGCCCUUAUGGGUAGGGCUACACACGUCAUACAAUGGCCGGGACAGAGGGCUGCCAACCCGCGAGGGGGAGCUAAUCCCAGAAACCCGGUCGUAGUCCGGAUCGCAGUCUGCAACUCGACUGCGUGAAGUCGGAAUCGCUAGUAAUCGCGGAUCAGCUUGCCGCGGUGAAUACGUUCCCGGGUCUUGUACACACCGCCCGUCACACCAUGGGAGCGGGUUCUGCCAGAAGUAGUUAGCCUAACCGCAAGGAGGGCGAUUACCACGGCAGGGUUCGUGACUGGGGUGAAGUCGUAACAAGGUAGCCGUA